rnacentral:lncRNA from 1 species
CCAUGCUGAAGCCUUUCUUGUGUUCGUUUGCCAAAACACGCAGUAGAGCCAGGAGCCAAGGCAUUCCUCUGCUCCCUGUUCACAGGCAAGAGAUGGAAUCAUUUCUUUUGGACACGCUGUUGAACUGCAUUAUCAACCAGACCGACUGAGAGCGUAAGGCCGGAUGCAGCAGGCUCCUUGGAGUUACAGCACAUGCCAGGCCCGGGAGCACAGUGGGAACGAUAUCCAGACUGUUGUAUGUGCAGCAGCAGAACCAGGGAGCUUCUCCACAAAUUGACUGAGCGAGGUGACGAUUAUGAGCUGGCAAUUUUUCAAGAAUCCAUUGGCCAACUCCUUGAGUCUACGAUGAUGCUUCUUACAAGGUAUCAGCUGGUGGUUUGCAGCAGGGGUGGCUGA